UACGGAGGAUCCAAGCGUUAUCCGGAUUCACUGGGUUUAAAGGGUGCGUAGGUGGAAUGACAAGUCAGUGGUGAAAACCUGCAGCUUAACUGUAGAACUGCCAUUGAUACUGUUAUUCUUGGUACAUUUGAUGUGAGUGGAAUGUGUCGUGUAGCGGUGAAAUGCUUAGAUAUGACACAGAACACCAAUUGCGAAGGCAGCUCACAAAACUGUAACUGACACUGAGGCACGAAAGCGUGGGGAUCAAACAGG
rnacentral:rRNA from 1 species